CCCUGACCCCCGUCUCCUUUUCUGUCUUUCUGUCCCCUGAAAAAUGAUUCCGCGCGCUCUGAUUGAAUUUUAUUCCUUCCUGACCUGGCCCGGUUUUAUUGCAUGGACACCAUCAAUCUUGACCUAACACGACGUUUGUUUAUGGCUUUGGAAAGAAGCGAAUGGCUUUAUGAGCGCCGCCGUCAUGAAGUCGGGAGGGCUCCGCGCACCGCGGCACCGCACCACCUUCGGGGAGGACGCGCCGUGGGCAGGAAAGGGAGAGGGGGAAAUAAAAGGGGGGUAAAAAAAGAAACAAAAUUCACACGGGAAGGGCGAGCGGGAUCCUCCCGGCCCGUGGGGCUCGGGUCGAGGUCCGGCGGACUAAAACUCGCGCAACCUGCUCUGCGCGCUGCCCCUCUGUGCUCCUCCGCACGCCACCUGCGCGCCCGCGCAGCGGCCACUCGGUCUCAGCCGCCCCGACGGCACCGCCGCUGCCCCUGCGCGCCUCGCAGUCCUUCCAAAAACCGCGCAUAUCAAAAUAACCGAGCCGUCGGGCAAGCGAGGGGGAACGGAGUGAUUGCGCCGACAUUUAAACGACUUCGCACUGAGAUUAAUUGAAAGCUAACGUUCAAUUAGCGGUUAUUCCCGAAAUCGGUGAUUUCCGACCGAGGAUGCGGGAGCAUUCACCCCACGAGGCGCGCAGGUCGCUCUUCUACUACCGACGCGCGGGUCCGGCGCUCCGCUGUUGCUCACGCCGUGAGGACGACACGGGAAACCUCGAGCAUCGUUACUUCGCGUUCCUCUUCACGUGGGCCCCGGCCCGUCGCCGCCGCUGCCCUCUGCGCGCAACAAAAGCCCCCGGCAGCGCAAAUCCAACCUCGCUCGCCUCAGCCCCAAGUUUUGUGGGGACAGGCGCAGAGGGAAGAGUGCUGCCGGAGUGCAGCCCAGAGGUCACCCAUCGCGCCACGGAGCUGCGCUCUAUUUUGAAAAUACGGCCGUGCUCACCUCGGAGCUCUGUCCAUGAGAUUUCCGCAAGGGCCCCGCUUUCGUAAGACAUACGUUUGGUAACACUCCCCGUAAGGCCUCCAGCCGCGACACAAACAGUCGCACCGCGUUCUCCCUUUGACCGGGGCCGCGGAGGUGGGGAAGGGCUUUAAAUCCACAUCUUUUCUGCAGUGCGCUUCCCCACUGCUUUUGGUUGUGACCUUUGCGGAACAUAAUGCAAACUGUCACUCACUUUAAGAAGAAAUCCUAUGGAGGAAACUCGGGCAGAGGGAAGAAUAUUCCUCUUUUGCCGGGGGGGGGGAAUUCAGACCUCACACUCCCCUCCAUUUCGGUGACAGACAAUUAAACACAAAUAAGAAACCACCGCGGCCAGCCAAACGGAGCGGUCCCUCAAAUUAAAAACAACAGUUUUAAGGCGAGAUUUUUUUUUCUUCCCUUGGACAACACGCAAAGCAAUAGCUUUUGAGAUUCGGCUCAGGCUGAAACACAGCGUGGAGCUGCGCGCUGCCCCCUCACCCGCGGAAUGCCCCGCGGCAGAACGGGGCCGAGCAGCCCCGUCCCUCUGCUUCGCAGGGGCUUCGCAGGGAGAUACGCGCUGCGCGCAGGGUCGGAUGGCGGCUCCGUGGUGAUGGGGGAGGCCCGGCUCUGCGGGGAGACCCACGCAGAACCCGCGCAGCGCCAUUUCCAUUCUCCGCGUUAUAGUUCUGUGCGGAGGGAGGAGAAAAAUAAUAAUAAUAAUUAACAAAAAAGAAAUACAAAAUAACGAACCCCGCGCGUGCCCUCUGCCGUGCCUCCCCACAGGACCUUCGGGAGCGGGGGGGUCGCCAGAAAGAACCGGGAAUCCGGCGGGACGUGUCCCUGCCCCCCGCGCAGGGACAGUGGAAGGUACGGGCGGCACUCGUUGGAACGCCUCACGGCCCCAUUCUCCCCCGGCAGAGCAGCGGCACGAAACGAGCCCCUCUCUCCUCGCUGUUCGUUCCCCACCCCCACCCCCCGCCGCCGCCGAGAAAACCGGGGGUGCGGGGAAAUCGGUGCCUCUGAGCACCGAAAAUACCGCGCAACCAUUACAUGCAAUCGCCGCUCUGCCCUCCCCGCGCCUUAACAUUGAUUUUGGCGUUCAGUCUCGAGAGAAACACCGAUCCCACGCAGGCACCGCGGGGACAGACCCCGCUCGCCGCCGGAGCUCCAUUUUGGGAGGAGAAAAAGGCGAAAACAGGAGCGGGGUGCAGCGCUCGACGCUGGGAGCGGGGGUCUGCCAUCAGAAAUGGCCCGGAGCGCUCCGCUCCAUUUCUCCUUCGCUCCAGCGUUAACACAACGGUGCGGCGGCGCGGGGGGGAGGAGGAGGAGGAGGGGGCUCUUCGGACCCAACUCAACGAACACAGAGACGGAAAUAGGGCCGAAAAUUUCUUCACAGGUGCUAUCACGGGAAAAACAAAAUGAAACCAAAGAAUUACACAGAACAAUUUAAAAGACAGUGAGCUAUUUAAAUAAACCGAUUUCUAGGCUCCCUUAUGCAGUAACCCCCGAGGUCGGUGUGCUGAAGGUGCGUUGUGAUUAUAGCUGCUCCGGAGAGGAAGAGCUGCCCAAAAGCGGGGCACUGAGGUGAACACCUCUGUAUUUAUUUACAGUGCAAACUCAGCAAUGCGGCAGCAAUUACUGCUGAGUGUCGCCUCCCGAUAAGAGGCGCUGAUAGGAAACGGCAUUAUCUUGCGAGCAAACUUUAGGCCUUAAAUAUCUGCAAUCGAAUCGCCUUCUCCCCAAGUCUGACUGACAGGGCACAGCCUUUCAACUUAAUGAAUUUAUGGCACUUUGGUGGCUGUUUGCGAAGGGGGAGGCGAUCCCCAAUGCCCGUAGGUCCGUAAUUGCAAAUUGAGCAGAAGGUGACAUUCCCGCUCGGACAGAAUGUCACACUGCGAUCCAUUCGUCCAUCGUGGCCGUGGAAAUACGUUAUAUUUUGUCAGGUUUAAAGAAUAAAGAGGGAGGGGAGAGACGGGGGGGGGAAAAAAAGUUAAAAACUACAUAGGAAAAAUUCUCCCCUCCAACUUUUCCUAAUCGGAUCCGCACCGGAGCAGUGGGGCCGUCCCAGCGGAGCGGGGAGGUCCCCAAAGGACAGGAGAGGGGCAGAGGCACGGCGGUGCGACCCAACGUUUCGUUCCCUUCGGAGAUGAAGAGCUGCGCUACGGGAGCGGCCCCGGUGCCAAGUGCGCAAAGCAGCGAUUUCUGCGCCCACGGCACACUUAAGAAAGCACACGGUAGAGACUAUCUGCCAUCUAAGAUCCACCGCGGGGUUUAGAAACACACGCGGUGCGCUUCUAGCAAGAAAUACGCGACCCUUCUUUAAAUAGAGAUCCACGCGCAAAUCCCGCUUACAAACACAUGGGCAACGCGUAGGGGUCGGCCCGUGUGCGUGCACCGACAGCAGCGCAGGGACCGGGCCGGGGCCGCACCGCCGCUUUCAGCCAUUCACUGCGGAGAAAACGCGUUUGUUUGCUCGCCAGCCCCGAGCUGCCCCCGCAGGGGUUCGUUCCCGACGUACGGGGCGAGCCGAGCGAGGGGAACGCAGAGCGGAAGGGACAGAAGUGGGAUUUUCGGAGCCGGCGGUGCGCGGGAUUUGCGCGGAGGGGCCGCGCAGUGCCGUCGCCCCGCGGGAGCCACGGAACCCUUCUCUUCCCCCUCUCUCGCCCUCUCCAAAAGCAAAGCGAGAAAGUAUGCAGACGUGGGCAGGGUCAUUCCAACUGAACGGUAAUUUAUUAAUAAACAAACAACGCGAUACCUUCGGGAUAUUUUCAACGAAAAAAAAAACAACAACAACAAAAAAAAACAGGAAAAAAUAUUGAUAGAAUAAGAUUAAUACAGUUUCCCUUUUUUUUUUUUUUUUUUGUCUAUAUGGAGUGGAAAAAAAAAAAAUAAAUCAGCGUUUCAGUCCGUGUUAACGACCCUUCCCGGGGUAGGGGGAAACACUUUGUGGCGUUUGGUCCGCACCAUCCAACUACGAAUUAAAAAUAAAUUACUAUGUGGCAAUUUACACUUUCAAACAAGUCCUUGUCCGGGUGGAAAGGAGGAGGGGGGGGGGAGGAGGGCGGGUGGGGGGUGCGGAAGCGGGGCGCGGCGAUACCUCACGGGACGGGGCGCGGGGGGAGAGCGCUGCUGGGAAGCGAUCGACCAAAGAAAGCGACACUUACGUGGGAGCGGGCGCCGCCGGCCUCUCACCGCCCCGCACGCGGGCGGCGGGCGGCGGGCCGCGCUCAGAACUUGCCGCAGUCGUAGACGAAGGCCCCGGAGGCGCGGUACAGCGGCUGGCUGCCGGGGAACGCCAUCUGACAGCUGCCGCCGCCCCCCGCUCCACCGCCGCCGCCGCUCCCCGCGUUGCCUCCGCCGCCGCCUCCUCCGCCUCCGGGCGAGGCGCUGAGCCCCAUCCGCGGCGCUUCGAAGACGUCCCGCGGACCGGCGGCGAAGCUCUGCUGCGG
ensembl:lncRNA